UACGGGGGGGGCAAGCGUUGUUCGGAAUUACUGGGCGUAAAGGGCUCGUAGGUGGCCAACUAAGUCAGACGUGAAAUCCCUCGGCUUAACCGGGGAACUGCGUCUGAUACUGGAUGGCUGAGAUUGGGAGAGGGAUGCGGAAUCCAGGUGUAGCGGUGAAAUGCGUAGAUAUCAGGAGGAACACCUGCGGUGUAGACGGCUUUUCCUGGACCCGUUUUACUGACGCUGAGGCGCGAAAAGCCCAGGGGGAGGCAAAAACGGGGAUUAGAAAAACC
rnacentral:rRNA from 1 species